AGAGUUUGAUCCUGGCUCAGAACGAACGCUGGCGGCGUGCUUAACACAUGCAAGUCGAACGUGAUCCAGAGCUUGCUCUGGUGAAAGUGGCGCACGGGUGAGUAACGCGUGGAUAACCUGCCCUGGUAUCUGGGAUAACAUCUCGAAAGGGGUGCUAAUACCGGAWAAGCCUACGGGAUCUUCGGAUUCUGCAGGAAAAGAAGGCCUCUAUUUAUAAGCUACCGUAUCAGGAUGGGUCCGCGUACCAUUAGCUAGUUGGUGGGGUAAUGGCCUACCAAGGCGACGAUGGUUAGSUGGUCUGAGAGGAUGAUCAGCCACACUGGAACUGAGACACGGUCCAGACUCCUACGGGAGGCAGCAGUGGGGAAUUUUGCGCAAUGGGGGAAACCCUGACGCAGCAACGCCGCGUGAGUGAUGAAGGCUUUCGGGUCGUAAAGCUCUGUCGGAGGGGAAGAAAUGGAACGUGCUAAUAUCACGUUUUCUUGACGGUACCCUCAAAGGAAGCACCGGCUAACUCCGUGCCAGCAGCCGCGGUAAUAC
rnacentral:rRNA from 2 species